rnacentral:rRNA from 1 species
UAGGGAAUCUUCCGCAAUGGACGAAAGUCUGACGGAGCAACGCCGCGUGAGUGACGAAGGUUUUCGGAUCGUAAAACUCUGUUGUGAGGGAAGAACAAGUACCACUUAACUACUGGUACCUUGACGGUACCUCACCAGAAAGCCACGGCUAACUACGUG